rnacentral:tRNA from 1 species
GUGCCUGUGGCUCAAGAAGAGUAGGGUGCUGGCCCUAUAUGCCGGAGGUGGCUGGUUCAAACCCAGCCCUGGCCCA